GGAUUCCCCUAGUAACUGCGAGUGAAGCGGGAAAAGCUCAAAUUUAAAAUCUGGCGGUCUUCGGCCGUCCGAGUUGUAAUCUGGAGAAGCGUCUUCCGCGCUGGACCGUGUACAAGUCUCUUGGAACAGAGCGUCAUAGAGGGUGAGAAUCCCGUCUUUGACACGGACUACCAGUGCUUUGUGAUGCGCUCUCGAUGAGUCGAGUUGUUUGGGAAUGCAGCUCAAAAUGGGUGGUAAAUUCCAUCUAAAGCUAAAUAUUGGCGAGAGACCGAUAGCGAACAAGUACCGUGAGGGAAAGAUGAAAAGCACUUUGGAAAGAGAGUUAAACAGUACGUGAAAUUGCUGAAAGGGAAACGCUUGAAGUCAGUCGCGUUUGCUAGAACUCAGCCUUGCUUCUGUGAGGUGCAUUUUCUAGUGAACGGGCCAGCAUCAGUUUUGGCUGCCGGACAAAGGCCUCGGGAAUGUGGCACCUUCGGGUGUGUUAUAGCCCUCGGUCGUAUACGGUGGCUGGGACUGAGGAUCUCAGCACGCCUUCAUGGCGGGGGUUCGCCCACCUUCGUGCUUAGGAUGCUGGCGUAAUGGCUUUAAACGA
rnacentral:rRNA from 1 species